CUCAACUCAUUUCAUUGGAGGAUGGCUAGAGCAAGCCUUCACAUGUUAGAAAUUUGCAAUAUUUGUAUAUUUUUGUAUGUAUUGUUGAUGAGGUAAAUAGUUUUUAUCAUUAUUAAUUAUUUUUUUAGUUAAUUAUUUUUGCUUAAAUUUAUACGACAAUCACAAAACCGCACACUAAGCCUUCACAAUAGUGGGACUUUUCAUUUUUCAUUAAACUCAAUUCAAAAUUACAGAGUAAUU
rnacentral:misc_RNA from 1 species